rnacentral:lncRNA from 1 species
UGGAGUAACAGGCUCAUGUAACAGGCUGCAGUUCCUCUAACAGGCUCAGCAGACUUCAGUUCUGACACACAGUUGCCAUCUGCUUGUCUCUAGGUGCUGUGAUGAGCUCCCAUCCCAGACGCCCACUGUGGCCCAGCCUCCUUGUUCCCAGUGCCCAGCUCCCAUACACAUAGCCCUCUCACACUCCAGCCGUCUUCUUAUGAUUUGUCUUCAGCAUCAUGUGGCUUCUAUGUGUUUAAGCUUGAGGCGCCGGAGAGCUUUCAAGGAAAGGCCUUUGUGUUACCUCCAUUUCAUCUGUGAGAAAGAGAAUUUGAAUGGACGAUCUCUAAAGUCUUUCAUCGGAAAAGCCCCUGAUGCUGGGAAAGAUUGAAGGCAGAAGGAGAAGGGGACAGCAGAGGAUGAGAUGGCUGGAUGGCAUCACUGACUCGAUGGACAUGAGUUUGAGCAAGCUUCAGGAGCUGGUGAUGGACAGGGAGGCCUGGCGUGCUGCAGUCCAUGGGGUUGCAAAGAGUCGGACAUGACUGAGCAACUGAACUGUAUUGAAAGUCUUCUAACACUCGAUUUUUAUACUUUUAACUCAUAUACAAAUUCGGAUUGAGAAAAAUCAGAAAAGGUUCAUUUAAAAAUGCAUGAUUGUGAAAAAUUCACCUAUUAAUUUUAAUAAUUGGCAUUUUCUUUUAAAAAUAUUAUCAUGUUUAUAAGUGAUAACCUAUUUCUAAUUUAUUGGUUUAUUUUUAUAUCUAAUCUCAUUUGGAAUAUCAUCAGAAAUC